ACCCAUGCAUGAACUUCAUGCACCGGGCCUCUAGUGUUAUAUAAAUACCAGAGACCCGAUGCAUGAAAUUCGUGCAAGAGUAG